rnacentral:sRNA from 1 species
ACUAUUCAAAUUCUCUUUCUUCAUAGAAUCAUCAAUGGAAACAUUAUUGAGCUCAUUUUCUAAAGGUUCAUUCCUCUUAGUAAACUGUCUUUGCCCUUUCCCAAGUGGUUUCUCCUUUAGAAGAGUAGUAUUACUUAAAUUCCCUUUCUUCGUAGAAUCAUCAUUGGAAAACUUAUUGAGCCCGUUUUCUAAAGGUUCAUUCCUC